AGUCACUAUUGAAGUAACAGUAUUUUUUUGCUAUAUAAAGUGGUAUUAUGGUCACUUUACAUUACCGUACUCGCUCAAGACAGUGCGAAUAGGAAGGUUUUUUACCCGCAUGGUAUUUUGCUAUGCAUUCGUAUUUGCUAUUCACUGAGCGUAUAUAAAUGAAUGGAUCUUUUAAGAGCUUGCUAACAAGAUAACCUACUUGUACGCGAGUGUCAGAAGGUCCACAUAUUUGCUAUAGAUUAAAAUUUAUUAUUACAUUUAAAACAGAUUCGUUAACAAAGAACCUUUUGAAAUUACUUGAGUUAAUGGUUUAUUCUUUUCGCGAAAUUCUAUAUCGCUGUAAUUUGUGUGAUCGUAGACUUCCUAUUUGUGUUGGAUGCGUACUAAAGUUUGCUUGGAAUCCUGUUAAUACAUGUUUUUAAAAACCAC